GAAGCGAAAAUCGUUCCGCCUCUUCCGAGCGGGGUCACGGUCAGGGCGCCGCGAGCGCGGACACCCUGCGUGCGGGGCUCUCGGCGGGACGGGGUGGUCCCCCGCCCGGCGCCAUGUCCCGGAACCUGCGCACCGCGCUCAUCUUCGGCGGCUUCAUCUCCCUGAUCGGCGCCGCCUUCUACCCUAUCUACUUCCGGCCCCUAAUGCGGCUGGAGGAGUACCAAAAGAGUGCUUCCCAGCAGAGGGAAAGGUUACGGAAUUGCUGUGAGACCUCACUGCCCUACUACCCGGCUGGUUCUUGUAUUGCUGUACCUUCUGCCCCACCUGAAGUAUGUUGUGUAGAGUCGGAACAGCGUUAGAAAGAGCAAGCCAUAAAUCGAGCCGGUAUCGUUCAAGAAGAUGUACAGCCACCAGGGUUAAGAGUGUGGUCUGAUCCAUUUGGCAGGAAAUGAGAAGGCUCUCAGCACCUCAAUUAUGAAAGACAUCUUCUUGCUUUCGAUGCUGCAGCAAGUACAAUAAAUGGCCUCGCUACAGAACGAUGGCUGGAGAAGAAAAGUCUGUAAGGCUGAAAACAAGAGCGCUGUGCACAAGGAUUAAUAUUUCCCUUCUUAGGUAUCAAAAGAACCCCGGAGCAAAUCACACCAUUAGGGAGGUUUUCAUGAUUCGCUUUACUUUCUAAAAAUGAAGCUGUCUCACCCAGCUGUGUUUGGAGGAGUUCUACUUAUUAUUCAGUCUCUGCUGCUCUCCCAGCCGAGCUGUGAUGUGAAUGCAAGCAGCCAGUAGACUCGGGAAGGUCCCAGUCUGUGUUGCCAUUUCCCAAAUAGGAAAUUUCAGUGGAACGCCACCGUGCUGAGCAGCCCCACGGGGCCCUUUGAAAACGGGCAAGUUGAUAAAACUCUUUGAGGACAAGGUGCACUGUACUCCUGAAGAAUAACCAGUUCAGCUUAACCGUCUUGUCGGAGGCUGCCGCGUGUUGGGGUAGAAAUCCGUGUUGCAUUAACAGAAGUGAGAAUGUGUGUAUUAAAAUGGAUCUGUUCUUAAUUCA